UUAGAACUUAACAGUGCCUUCAAAUGCAAUAUACUUUAAUACUAAAUGUUGACCCCCACAUUCUGAGUUCUAACAUGUACAGUCAAACCAAUUGUAACCCCAGGCCACUCUACAACCAUAGAUUUCUUUUUUAUUCGUAUAAUUAAUGGCUUUCUGAUACCAGGGCACUGUGCCAAUGUCAAGUAAAUUACUGAGAUAUAUAAAACAGUAUAAGUAGUUUUUUUGCGAACGAGGCCUUCGCGAUGCACUGGAGGAUAGCUGGAGCAGCAGUACAAAGUAUGAUGGCGGCCGGGACCACGAACUGCCGAGUGAUGUCCGUAGAAUUGGUUAUUCGUAUCUCCAAAAGAAUUCUACAUUAAAUUCACUCUUUGCGCAGGCUAUUCACUGCAUAAUAUCCUAUCAAACUUAUACAUUAAACAGCAGAAUGCAAAAAAUA